AACGUUGCCAUCGUUGGGCCCCCGGUUCGAUUCCGGGCUUGCGCAUAUUUUUUGUAAUUUAAUUGGAUGUGAUAUCAAGCACUAGUUUUGUUUGGAGGAGCAGAGAUUGAAAGCCUAGCUUUUACACCGGUUUGAGUCGGUUCCUUCGUUUUCUUAGUUGGAAUUGAUAUAGAAGUGUGUGGACAAUC
rnacentral:snoRNA from 1 species